rnacentral:siRNA from 1 species
GGGCUUCCAACCUACCUGGUAAU